rnacentral:lncRNA from 1 species
UAGAAGAAAAGAACUGAAGCUCCGAUUAGAUUACAGUGAGAAGCAACGCAAACGCAACAACAAUGGCUACUCCUUCGAUUCUUCUGAGGGAUCUCAAACGGAAAUCCGCAGAUAUCAUCGGUCAGUAUUCUUCUUCUUUCUGAUGAUUUUAAUUUUUGAUUUAUUAAUACAUCAAUUUGUUCAUGAUUGAUGAUUGAUUUCAAUUAUUGAUGAUACAUGAAUAUGUUUUCAUUUAUUUAUUUAUUUGAUGGAAAAUACUACAGGAGGAGAAUAUGUUUUUAUUUAUUUAUUUGAUUGAUGCAGUACUUAGAACAGAACCAACUGAACUUGAAGUAGCACUUAAAUUCAGGAGAGAACAUUUCAACUCUGAUGAACAGAAGUCCAAAACAUCAUCUGGAGCAACACCAGAAUCUCCUAUCAUCACUCUUGAUAUAUAGUACUAGAUGUAUGUAAUGCUAAUGUAGUACUUUUGUCAUGGCAAUUAUCGCUAUUACUAGUAUGUUUUAUGUGUGUAAAGUAGUAGAGAUGUUUGUCGGCACUUGUGUCAUGGCAAUUAUCCUGCUAGACUAUUAUUAGUAGGGCAGUUAUCGCUAUUUGUAGUAUGUUUUAUGUUUGUAAAGUAGUAGAGAUGUUUGUCGGCACUUGUGUCUUGGCAAUUAUCACUAUUAGUAGUAUGUUUUAUGUGUGUAAAAUAGUAGAGAUGUUUGUCGGCUCUAGUGUCUUGGAAAUUAUCCUGGUAGACUAUUAUUAGUAGGUAGACUAUUAUUAGUAGGUCUCCAAUCUUGGAGGAUUCUGUUCAGAUAGGAUAAUGCAUAAAAAGAAAGUAGACUGACUUUUAAACUAAUGAAAAAAUAAGGGAAUCCCCUACCAUAUUUUCGCAAACUGUUGUGUGUGCUUGUUUAUGUCAUCUGCAUAUCCCUCUAUGCAUUGCAGCCUUGCUACUAGAAAUGGAUUCGAUACUGUGCUUGUUUGAUGACAUUGUUUCUAUUUUUUUUUUUUGCACUAGAAAUGGAUUCGAUACUGUGGGAUCUAAACUCAGAUCCUAAAAAGUAUAGAGGUUUUCAUGUGGUGGAAGUUGGCAACAAUGAACUAGGCUUGUUGUGUGAUAGUUAAUGUUUGCCACCUUCCUUUCACUUGUUGAUGCUUUAGGCUGUCUCAGAGUUUUAUUUUCCUGUUGCCAAUAUCUUUGACUGCAGUUGAUAGUUUUAUCUUUCUUUUCUUGAGGCUUGUCUUUGGUUUAGUGAGAAAUUUGAGGUAGCAGUAGCAGUGAAGUUGCAGCGCAGAGAAUAUUAGGUGUUACUUGGGACUUCAUGAUAAUUUAAUAUUUUAUUGCCACAAUACCACUUGGUGAUUUGUUUGUUACUGCUUUUGGUGUUUGCUUUUUGUUAUAUCUUUUACAGCUGAGUAUUGUCUUCUGUUGGUUUGUGUCGGUGGGUUGUUUAUCGCUGCUGAGGCGUGAGGGUCAUGACCAUGAUGUAUGUAACUUCUAUUACGUAUUUAUUUUGAUGUCCCUUGAUCCUUAUCUUAAACUGAUUCAAGUACAAGUACUAGGAUAGGAUGGGUAACCUGGGAGAUAAUCAUCUGUGUAAAUUAUUUUAGGGUCAUGCUAACUAGUGCCCCGGGGCACUAGUUAAAGAAACCAAGAAGUAAAUUUUGUAUUGAAAAGAGCAUUUUCUAUAUUUUGAAAAGAUAGAUUACACUAGUUCCAAGUUUAUUUUACUAUAUUAGGUUUCUUAACUAGUGGCACUAUGCACAAUUAAUUGUUGUACAGCCUUUGAUUCAUCUUUUGCUAAAACAAUUCAUGCAUCUAAAUUACUUAUACACAAUUAAGUUUUCAAUUUUUCUCAGCGUUUUGUGUAUUGCACGGAAUAUUUACCUCAGCAGAUUUAUAAACUGUAUAUUCCUAUCUUUAACACAGCAACGUUUUUUUUUUUAUAAGCUUUAACACAGCAACUGUUUUGCAUCCUUGACAAUAGAGGCAAAUUGGUGCAAUGGGCCAAAGAAGCAUUAAUCAGAGAAAUGGCAUUCGAAGAAUCUGAGUAGCAAAAUCACAUUUCUCAAACUUCUCUACCACGCAAGAUGAAAACCUGGUCACAUUGCAUUUGCUUGCUGUAAUAGUGCUACUGAUUGCUAGUUGAAUGUUGUUAUUUUAGGAAUUAUCCUCUGUUAAUGGCUAACUUGGAAGGUUGCUUCUGCUCUGGCUGAUG